rnacentral:rRNA from 1 species
AGCGGCAGACGGGAGAGUAACACGUGGGAACGUGCCCUUCAGUUCGGAACAACCCAGGGAAACUUGGGCUAAUACCGGAUACGUCCGUAAGGAGAAAGAUUUAUCGCUGAAGGAUCGGCCCGCGUCUGAUUAGCUUGUUGGUGAGGUAACGGCUCACCAAGGCGACGAUCAGUAGCUGGUCUGAGAGGAUGAUCAGCCUCACUGGGACUGAGACACGGCCCAGACUCCUACGGGAGGCAGCAGUAGGGAAUAUUGGACAAUGGGCGCAAGCCUGAUCCAGCCAUGCCGCGUGGGUGAUGAAGGCCCUAGGGUUGUAAAGCCCUUUCGGCGGGGAAGAUAAUGACGGUACCCGCAGAAGAAGCCCCGGCUAACUUCGUGCCAGCAGCCGCGGUAAUACGAAGGGGGCUAGCGUUGCUCGGAAUCACUGGGCGUAAAGCGCACGUAGGCGGCUUUUUAAGUCAGGGGUGAAAUCCUGGAGCUCAACUCCAGAACUGCCUUUGA